rnacentral:rRNA from 1 species
UACGUAGGGUGCGAGCGUUAAUCGGAAUUACUGGGCGUAAAGCGUGCGCAGGCGGUUCGUUGUGUCUGAUGUGAAAGCCCCGGGCUCAACCUGGGAAUGGCAUUGGAAACUGGCGAGCUAGAGUGUGGCAGAGGGGGGUGGAAUUCCGCGUGUAGCAGUGAAAUGCGUAGAUAUCGAGAGGAACACCGGUGGCGAAGGCGGCCAACUGGACAGAUACUGACGCUGAGACACGAAAGCGUGGGGAGCAAACAGG